rnacentral:misc_RNA from 1 species
GGACAAGCACCACCGCGACUGGAUCCUCCGGCGGUGCUGCGGCUCCAUCGCCGCCUGCAUCCUCACGCUCGCCGUCCUCGUCGGCUUCAUCGUGCUCGUCAUCUACCUCGCGAUUCACCCCUCCAAGCCUUCUUUCUACCUCCAGGACGUCCAGCUCCGCAACAUCGACCUCUCCGACCCUGCCAUCUCCCUCAACCUCCAGGUGACGAUCGCGUCGAGGAACCCGAACGACAGGGUGGGGGUGUACUACAAGACGCUGCACGUGUUCACGACGUACAGGGA